AUCACAGCCAAGCAAAGUGCUGCAUUGAUGGAGAGGGCCCCAGCCAAUGCUCUCUUUGGAGCAGGAAAUGGGGGAACCAAGACCAGCCAUUCUGAAAUUGCCUCUUCAAGAUUCAAAAACUGUGUCAUCAUUAAGAUUCAGAGCUAACAGUCAGAGGAAAGCCAAAGGACAGGUAUAGAAGGUGUGUCAGUUGUUGUGUGUGCAGAAACAAACUUCACAUUGCUAUAAUCCUCUGUG
rnacentral:lncRNA from 1 species